CCUCGGGCGUCUCCUUGUGGCGGCGGGAGGUGUUGUCGGGAGUGAACUGCGCGCGAGAGGCUGGAGAAAGGAACUGUGCUUAGAGGGGCUCGAACGCUCCCCCAGGCACUGGACGGUGCUGGUGCAAUUGGAUGAUGACACAGCCCCAUGAACAGGGGAAACAGACGUGUUGCUGGAUAUUCACUUUACAACCCACAAGCAGCUGGGACUGUGAGGUCCGGAGGCUUCCUGGAGGAAGAGGCAUCUAAGCCAUGAAUGAGAUUGCUGGGCUGAAAAUGGUCUUCACUCCAAAGCCCAGGCUGAAGUGCAAUGGCGCUACCACAGCUCACUGCAGCCUCGACCUCCUAGGCUCAGCUCCCCUUCACCAGACACUCCCCACAGGGAAAGUUCAUCUAACCAUGUGCUUAGAGGCUCCAGGGCAGAACUCUCUCCCACCAAGCGACUGUCUCAGAGAUAUCAGUCAAUGUGCAACCCAAAGUAUGCCCACUACGAAACUCUCUCCCACCAGGAAGUUGCCUCAAGAGACAACAGUCCAUCUACGACCUCAAGUAUGCCCGCUACAAGACUCUCUCCCACCUGGAAAGUUUCUGGCCACUUUUACAACCCAUAAAGGUGCCAGCAGUCACCAACUUGACUGCCCAGUAGAUAAGGCACCAAAGAGAGUAAGCAGAUCCCCCACCUGCUUGCUUCCUCUCCCAUGUGCCAUGCAUGCCACUAUGCCAGCCUCCCCCACAUUAAAAGCACCCACUUUCUGCUCCAAAGCCAAAGCAGCACCCUUAAGGCAGGAAGCCUAUACUUCUUCCCCUAAGUUAGCUUUGGAAUAAAAAGUCUCUUUCUUUAUACCAGACAUUACUCAUUAACUGGACUCUGCAAGCAGCAAGUGACCGAACCUGCAUUUCAGUUACAAUUUUGGUGACCCAUAUGGGGAAGUGCUGUCCGCUCUAGGUGAGUCUGAGCUGGACAGCCCAGUUAUGCUCCUGGGUGAGGCAUGGGGUCACCUGUGAGUGCCAGCUGCUCAUAGCUAGCGGAUCCCCUGACAGGAACAUUAUGGAACUUUCCAGCAGCUGCCAAAAGUGCUUUUGGUUUUGGAGGAGGCUUCCUUUCACCUCCCGGCAUGACAUCUGCCAUCUUCAGUGUUUCACUGGUUCAAAGCAAGUGACCUCUGAAGAAGACAGCAAACUUUGAAACUGGCCAGGUGCCAGGUAGCAUUCCUGAACACACGCCUCCUGGUCCCAAACAGAGGAACAUCUUCACUCAUCUCAGCCCCGGGGUUGGGGGGCAGUGGUAUUCUGGACGGCCAUCUCCCUGCCCCUCCUCACAGCACCUGACCUUCUCAGUUCAUCUGGAUAAACCUGCUGUGCUUCCUGUCCAGGGAGUGAGAAGUGAGGCGCUCCCGAAAGGCUGAGCCAAAGUCUAGUAACUGUGGCUGGAAGGCUCAUAAUCUGGGAAAUGUCUCAGCCCUGCAAGAUAUGCACCAGCAAGUCAAAACUAUGUCUGCCCCCACAUGGUCGCUAGAUCCAUGGAUGGCAUUCUGGCUCGGGUCAGGACCGUCUUGGUGAUGGAAGCUACUUACUACUCUAGCUCUAGUUGCAAAAACAGGUAGACUUCUCCAAUGUGGAUUUUACUGCUGUUGUAUCCUCUGUAUGAGACUGCAUGACAGGGUUUCCCAGAGAAUUUCCACACCUUGCACCAUAAUGUUCCAACAAAUAUCAUCUGUAAGACUGGGCACUUGUGAAGAUUUCCAACUUCAACUAGAUCAUUUCCUCUUUGACACCCAAUGACCUACAACCCCUUUCAGCCAGAAGUAGCCAGAAUGAAUAUAGUAUUCAAAUCCCAAAGAAAUGGAACAGAACUUGACGGUGGGGAAUUGUAACCAAGUACUCCCAGUUUUCAAAGAAAAAGAUAAGGAAUUACUACUAUGUUUUUUAAAUUAUUUUCUCUUAUUUUCUGUUUUCUCCAUUUCCCCCAUUCCCCACUUCCUAUGUAGCCCUUUAGAAAUGCAAUCAUAAGCUUUUACCUCCACUUCACCACACACUCCCUAGGGACAAGUUCAUCUAACUAGGUGCUUAGAAGCUCCAGGGCAGAACUCUAUCCCACCAGGGACUGCCUCAACAGAUAACAGUCAAUUUACAAACCAAAGUGUACCCGCUAUGAAACUCUCUCCCACCAGGAGGUUGCCUCAAGAACCUACAUUACAACAAUAGUCCACCUACAACCCAAAGUAUGCCUACUACAAAAAUCUCUCUCAUUGGGAGAGUUCUGGGACACUUUUACAACCUAGUCCUGCCCACGAAGGCACCAGCAGCCACCAGCUUGACCACCUGGUAGAUAAGGCACUGAAGCGAGUAUGUGAACCCCCACUUGUUUGCUUCCUCCCCUGCAUGCCUUUCAUGCCAGCAUACCAGCACCCCCCACUUUAAAAGCACCCGCUUUCUGCUUUGGAGGCAAAGUGGUCCCCUUAAGGCAGGAAGCCUGUACUUCUUGCCCUAGCAGGCUUUGGAAUAAAAAGUCAGUUUCUUUAUA